rnacentral:sRNA from 1 species
UUUUUGUUAUAAUAAAGGUAUUAAUUUUUAGUGCAAUACAUACAUUUUUAUUGUUUUGUAUAUUAUUUGCUAUUGAUAUUUUCAAAGUAUAUUCAUUUGACUAGUUUAGAUUUCUUGUUUUGUACUUAGAGUAACUUUUUAAUUUAUUUAGAACUCCAGAAACAAAUAGAAAUCGUAUUCACUUUUUGAUGGUUGGUUUACUUUUAACCUAGGACUAACUUAGCAGGUUAACUUUUAACUUAGGACUAAGAUAGUAGGUUUACUUUUAACUUAGGACAAAAUAUUAUUUUUCAAAUGAACCUUUAAUGAUAAACAAGUACACUCUUCUUUAAUAAUUUAAUUUAUAGAGCACUGUUAACAAACAAAAUGCAGGCUCAAGUUACUCUUCAUACUUUAUUUUACUUCUUAAGGUUGACAAAGACUUAUUGUUUCUCCAGCGGAUGAAGUUUUAAUUAGGGACGAACUUGUACGGUUUUAUUAAGAGAUUAGUUUCCUAGUCUUAACUUCUGCAAUGACUGACUUUUUAUACUACCAUCAAAUCUGUUUUGAUAUGAACACUGUGGCAGCUAAUAGAAAGCAUCAGUAAGUAGCUGUUUAAAAACUGUAAAAGGGUAUGUUCAAUAAUUAUAUAGGUGAUGUUAAGGUAUUUUUACAAUCAUUCUAUGGAAUCAGGUUAUUCAUCAUAAAAUGUUCAUUUUUGCUUAUCAAUCUGAUUUUGUUCAGUUUUGCCGAAGAGGUUUGUCAGUUGUCUUCUCCUGAAAUUCCUUUUACUGUGUGUUUUAUUAUUUCACUGGAAGUAAAUAUAAUUAGUUGUAUCAAGACUUUGAUGCACAUCUUGGUUUUUCUCUUUUUUUUGAACAUGUUUUUCCUUUUAUUUUGUAAUUUGUAUGUUUUGGUUCAAUAUUGAAAUCUGCACCAUACUUGAUGUACUUUACCUAUAUUUUUAAAAAUAUGUUAUUUCUUACUGGAGCUAAGACCGUGCUAUUUGAAGAGUAUAGUCAGUCUGACUGGAGCUAUUAUAAUUGGAUUUUAAUGUCAUUGAAUAUAUAUUCAAAUAGUGGAAACAUUUCCAAGAAGUAGAAUACAAUUAGUUAGACUACCUCCAUAGUAUGAAAGAUUUUCUAUCAGACAUAGUUUUAAGUAUGAUAAAACGGAUAAUUUAAAUACAAUUAGUUAGACGACCUCCAUAGUAUGAAAGAUUUUCUAUCAGACAUAGUUUUAAGUAUCAUAAAACAUCUACUUUAAAGAAAAAAAUGGUACUUUGAAAUGCUUGAUUUUUGUUGAUACAUAUUCCCUUUAUUUGCUUCUUUUAGUAGCCUUUAAUAAUUCUUGGAUUUGAACUUUCCCCAUUCAAAAAUGGCCUUAAAGUCUCAGGUUUAAACAAUUGUUAUUGAAAGUUUGACACAAAUUGAACUUCAGCAUUAUCUUGGAUACAAAUUAACAUUGUAGCAUUUAAUGUACCAGGUGUGUAUGAUCUUGUUAUCAUGUCAUUUUUUCAACAUUUCUUUUUUCUUCAUCUGAACUUGACAUAAUUUUGUUUUCUAAUUUUUAUAAAUGUUAUUCAAUGUUGAUUUGAUUUACAAUGACAUAUUGAUUCACAGUUUUUUUUGUGUUUUCUUUUGUGCUUAUGACUCAAGGCAAAAGAA